rnacentral:sRNA from 1 species
AAAUAGUUCAAAUUUUGGUUGUUUUAAGAUUUAGUGAAUAUUGUAGGUGAGAUAAGGAGAAGAUAAUUUAUCGUGUUUUGCGUGACAUAUGGGAUUACCAUAUAUUUCGAAUAUUUUUGGUUUGUUACACAAUUAAUUGCCUUAAAAAAAUACAA